AGGUGCAAUCAUACCAACGUUAAUGUACUGGAUCCCAUAAAAACUCCCCAGUUAACCACGCUUGGGCUAGAGUAGUACUGGGAUGGGUGACCUCCUGGGAAGUCUUAGUGUUGCACCCU
rnacentral:rRNA from 1 species